rnacentral:rRNA from 1 species
GAUUAUGGCUCAGGAUGAACGCUAGCUACAGGCUUAACACAUGCAAGUCGAGGGGCAGCAUGAUCAAGCUUGCUUGAUGAUGGCGACCGGCGCACGGGUGCGUAACGCGUAUCCAACCUGCCGUGUACUCGGGGGAUAGCCCUCUGAAAGGAGGAUUAAUACCCGAUGUGGUUGCUUGAGGACAUCCUCUUGCAAUUAAAGAUUUAUCGGUACACCGAUGGGGGUGCGUACGAUUAGGUAGUCGGCGGGGUAACGGCCCACCGAGCCAACGAUCGUUAGGGGUUCUGAGAGGAAGGUCCCCCCACAUAGGAACUGAGACACGGUCCUAACUCCUACGGGAGGCAGCAGUGAGGAAUAUUGGUCAAUGGGCGAGAGCCUGAACCAGCCAAGUAGCGUAGAAGGAUGACUGCCCUAUGGGUUGUAAACUUCUUUUAUAGGGGAAUAAAGUGUGGCACGUGUGCCGUUUUGUAUGUACCCUAUGAAUAAGCAUCGGCUAAUUCCGUGCCAGCCGCGGC